rnacentral:rRNA from 1 species
UACGUAGGGGGCGAGCGUUGUCCGGAUUUAUUGGGCGUAAAGAGCUCGUAGGCGGUCUGUCACGUCGGCUGUGAAAACUCGGGGCUCAACCCCGAGCCUGCAGUCGAUACGGGCAGACUAGAGUGAUGUAGGGGAGACUGGAAUUCCUGGUGUAGCGGUGAAAUGCGCAGAUAUCAGGAGGAACACCGAUGGCGAAGGCAGGUCUCUGGGCAUUAACUGACGCUGAGGAGCGAAAGCAUGGGGAGCGAACAGG